rnacentral:lncRNA from 1 species
CCCAGCUCCCCGCUACUUUUUAUAACCAGCUUUAUUUGAGAUCUUACUACACAGUCAGAGAAUAAUCCCACCCACGUCCUCUGCCCCAAGGUAGCUGCAACAAGGAGAAAGACAAAGCGACUCCAUCAAAUUCAUUUCUGGGUUCCAGACGCUGAGCACACACCUGGAAUGGGUUACGCUACUCGUAUUUCAAGGGGCUACCAUAUCAGACCACUGCCAACAUCAUGGAAGGUUCUGUGGGACCGCAUGACACGAGAUGAUCAUGGAGUCAACCUCGGGAUGGAGGGAAAGUGAGACUGAAAGGGACCAGGGGACCCUCCCCAGGUCACACAGCCUGAGGAGCCCCGCUCUGCAGACUCUGAGCUCCCUGCCCACACAGAACCUCCCGUUCCAAGGAGUUAUUAAACCUCCAGGAGCCCAAAGUCAAAUUGAAGAAGGU